CCUACGGGGGACAGCAGUGAGGAAUAUUGGUCAAUGGACGCAAGUCUGAACCAGCCAUGCCGCGUGCAGGAAGACGGCUCUAUGAGUUGUAAACUGCUUUUGUACGAGGGUAAACGCAGAUACGCGUAUCUGUCUGAAAGUAUCGUACGAAUAAGGAUCGGCUAACUCCGUGCCAGCAGCCGCGGUAAUACGGAGGAUUCAAGCGUUAUCCGGAUUUAUUGGGUUUAAAGGGUGCGUAGGCGGUCGGAUAAGUUAGAGGUGAAAUCCCGAGGCUCAACUUCGGAAUUGCCUCUGAUACUGUUCGGCUAGAGAGUAGUUGCGGUAGGCGGAAUGUAUGGUGUAGCGGUGAAAUGCUUAGAGAUCAUACAGAACACCGAUUGCGAAGGCAGCUUACCAAGCUACUUCUGACGUUGAGGCUCGAAAGCGUGGGGAGCGAACAGGAUUAGAUACCCUUGUAGUC
rnacentral:rRNA from 1 species